rnacentral:rRNA from 1 species
CCUACGGGUGGCUGCAGUGGGGAAUCUUCCGCAAUGGGCGAAAGCCUGAACGAGCAACGCCGCGUGAUCGAAUGAAGGCCUUCGGGUUGUAAACAUCUUUUGACAGGGACGAAUAAGCAAUGCGAAUAGUUUUGUGUAUGACCGUACCUGUUUAGAAAGCUCCGGCUAACUACGUGCCAGCAGCCUCGGGAAUACGUUGGGAUCAAGCGUUGUCCUGAUUUGCUGGGCGAAAAGGGCUCGUAGGUGGGCGCGUAAGUCAGGUGGGAAAACUCCGGGGUCAAACCGUAAAAUGCAGUUGAAACUGGGUGUCUUGAGGGCAGGAGAGGAAAGUGGAAUUCGUGGUGUAGCGGUGAAAUGCGUAGAUAUUAGGAAGAACACCAGUGGCGAAGGAGACUUUCUGGACUGUAACUGACGCUGAGGCGCGAAAGCGUGGGUAGCGAACGGGAUUAGAUACCCUUGUAGUC